rnacentral:tRNA from 13 species
UGCCGAAACCGGGAUCAGACCAGGGACCUUUAGAUCUUCAGUCUAACGCUCUCCCAUCUGAGCUAUUUCGGC